rnacentral:rRNA from 1 species
AGGUGCUGCACGGCUGUCGUCAGCUCGUGUCGUGAGAUGUUGGGUUAAGUCCCGCAACGAGCGCAACCCUCGUGUCUAGUUACUAACAGUUCGGCUGAGGACUCUAGACAGACUGCCUUCGUAAGGAGGAGGAAGGUGAGGACGACGUCAAGUCAUCAUGGCCCUUACGGCUAGGGCGACACACGUGCUACAAUGGAUAGGACAAUGAGACGCAAUAUCGCGAGAUGGAGCAAAUCUAUAAACCUAUUCUCAGUUCGGAUUGUAGUCUGCAACUCGACUACAUGAAGCUGGAAUCACUAGUAAUCGUAGAUCAGCCAUGCUACGGUGAAUACGUUCCCGGGUCUUGUACUCACCGCCCGUCACACCAUGGGAGUUGAUUUCACCCGAAGCGGGGAAGCUAAAUCGGCUACCCUCCACGGUGGAAUUAGCGACUGGGGUGAAGUCGUAACAAGGUA